rnacentral:rRNA from 1 species
CCUACGGGUGGCAGCAGUGAGGAAUAUUGGUCAAUGGGCGCGAGCCUGAACCAGCCAAGUAGCGUGAAGGAUGACUGCCCUACGGGUUGUAAACUUCUUUUCUCAGGGACGAAGCCAAUGUCGGUACCUGUGUCUUAAGCCACCGCUCACUCCGUGCCAGCAUCCGCGGGAAUACGUAGGCGGCAAGCGUUAUCCGGAUUUACUGGGUGUAAAGGUAGUGUAGGCGGUAAGGUAAGUCAGAUGUGAAAUCCAUGGGCUCAACAUGUGGCCUGCAUUUGAUACUGUUUUGCUUGAGUACGGGAGCGGCAGACGGAAUGUCUGGUGUAGCGGUGAAAUGCGUAGAGAGUAGGAGGAACACCAGUGGCGAAGGCAGUUUGCUGGACAGCAACUGACGCUGAGGCGCGAAAGCGUGGGGAGCAAACAGGAUUAGAUACCCUGGUAGUC